UUUUCUUUGUAAUGGAGCCAGCAAGAAAGAGGAAAUCCUCCUCUGUCUGGGAGUUUUUUUAAAUGGUUGGUCACAAUAAGGUGAAAUGCUUGCUGUGCCUAAAGGAGCUGACAUACAACAAUAACACCUCCUCCAUGCUCAGGCAUUAUCGAGCACUGCACGAGCAUGCACAGACUACUAACAAUCUUUAUCAAAUGAAUAUUUAUCCAAAGUGAAUCUCACAAGAUCUGAGGAUCCACUAGUAUAUUGGGCUCAACAUAAACAUCUUUCUCCUCAUUUAUACCAGCUGACACUGACAUUUUUAUGUUCCCCCGUAUCCUCUGUUCCAUGCGAAAGGAUCUUUUCCAAGGCUGGAGAGGUUCUGUCCAAAAGGAGGAAU